GCCUGGUUAGCUCAAUUGGAUAGAGCGUGAGACUCUUAAUCUCAAGGUUGCGGGUGAGUUCAUCUUCAGAAAAAAACAUCUGUUCAUGUUAGCAAAAUACUAACCCUAGCAGGUUCGACCCCCGCAUUGGGCU